rnacentral:rRNA from 1 species
GGCGACCGCUUUGGGAGUUCGAUUAAGCCAUGCGAGUCGUGAGUCUUAGGGACUCGGCAUACUGCUCAGUAACACGUGGAUAACCUGCCCUAUCGUCUGGAAUAACCUCGGGAAACUGAGAAUAAGGCCGGAUAGUUCACAAUGCCUGGAACGGUUUGUGAAUCAAGGUAGGAUGGGUCUGCGGCGUAUCAGGUUGUAGGGGGUGUAAAGGACCCCCUAGCCUUCGACGCGUACGGGUGUUGGGAGACAUAGCCCGGAGAUGGAUUCUGAGACACGAAUCCAGACCCUACGGGGUGCAGCAGGCGCGAAAACUUCACACUGCAGGAAACUGUGAUGAGGGAACUCCUAGUGCAUGCACUAUGUGUAUGUAGAUCCUACUCUUAAUCAGUAGAGGGAAAGGGCUGGGAAAGACCGGUGCCAGCCGCCGCGGUAAUACCGGCAGCUCAAGUGGUCGUCGCUUUUAUUGGGCCUAAAACGUCCGUAGCCUGUUUGGUAAAUCUGUGGGUAAAUCAAUCCGCUCAACGGAUUGAAUUCUGCAGAGACUGCCAGACUAGGGACCGGGAGAGGUGUGGGGUACUCGAGGGGUAGGGGUAAAAUCCUGUCAUCCUUUGAGGACCACCAGUUGCGAAGGCGCCACACUGGAACGGAUCCGACGGUCAGGGACGAAGCCUAGGGGCACGAACCGGAUUAGAUACCCGGGUAGUCCUAGGUGUAAACGCUGUGAACUUGGUGUCGGGGAUCCGCAAGGGGUCCUCGGUGCCGGAGUGAAGAUGUUAAGUUCACUGCCUGGGGAGUACGGUCGCAAGGCUGAAACUUAAAGGAAUUGGCGGGGGAGCACUGCAACGGGAGGAGCGUGCGGUUU